rnacentral:rRNA from 1 species
AGCAGGCGCGCAAACUUUACAAUGCGAGCAAUCGUGAUAAGGAACCCCUGAGUGCCUGUCGAUGCAGGCUGUUCAUAUAUCUAAAAUCAUAUGUGAAGAAAGGGCAGGGCAAGACCGGUGCCAGCCGCCGCGGUAAUACCGGCUGCUCGAGUGAUGGCCACUAUUACUGGGUUUAAAGCGUCCGUAGCUUGACUGUUAGGUCUCUUGGGAAAUCUUCGCGCUCAACGUGAAGGCGUCUAAGAGAUACCGGCAGUCUUGGAACUGGGAGAGGUAAACCGUACUUCGGGGGUAGGAGUGAAAUCUUGUAAUCCUCGAGGGACGACCUAUGGCGAAGGCAGUUUACCAGAACAGCUUCGACAGUGAGGGACGAAAGCUGAGGGAGCAAACGGGAUUAGAUACCCCGGUAGUCCCAGCCGUAAACAAUGUGCGUUAGGUGUGUCGGUAACCACGUGUUACUGAUGCGCCGAAGAGAAAUCGUGAAACGCACCACCUGGGAAGUACGGUCGCAAGGCUGAAACUUAAAGGAAUUGGCGGGGGAGCACCACAACAGGUGGAGCCUGCGGUUUAAUUGGAUUCAACGCCGGGAAGGGC